rnacentral:rRNA from 1 species
GAUGAACGCCGGCGGCGUGCCUAAUACAUGCAAGUCGAGCGGCAGCACGGUCUUCGGACUGGUGGCGAGCGGCGGACGGCUGAGUAACGCGUAGGAAUAUACCCCAAAGUGAGGGAUAACUGCCCGAAAGGGUGGCUAAUACCGCAUGUGGUCUUCGGACUAAAAGCCUUCGGGCGCUUUGGGAAUAGCCUGCGUAAGAUUAGCUAGUUGGUGAGGUAAUUGGGCCUCACCAAGGCGACGAUCCUUAAGCUGGUCUGAGAGGAUGACCAGCCAGACUGGAACUGAGACACGGUCCAGACUCCUACGGAGGCAGCAGUAGGGAAUUUUCCGACAAUGGGCGAAAGCCUGAUGGAGCAACGCCGCGUGCAGGAUG